rnacentral:tRNA from 1 species
AGUAGAAUGGCUGAGAUUAAAAGGUGAUAGAUUGUAAAUCUAUUAAGGGGUGAUAGAUGCCCUUCUACUA